rnacentral:lncRNA from 1 species
UAGCACUCAUUAAGCAGCUCCAUUUCCAGCACUGAAUAAGGGGACAUCACAAGCAAGCUGUUACUCCCUCCUGGGACACCUAAGCAGGCCGACCACGCUGAGGGGGGGGGGGAAAAAAACAACAACAAAGAGGCAGCCUAGGCCACAACACAGCUCAGCACACACAUCACUGGCACCCCCACAAAAGGAAGCAGCUCCUUACCUGGAGUCUCCCUGGGCAGGAUCCACUGAGGUAGAUGUCCUGGAUGAAAACCACUGCUACCUGCCUACAAAGCAUUCCUCUGCUAAGGAGCAGCAGCCCAGGCUCCACUCCCACAUGUGGGCCUGUUAUGGGCAAGGCCACACUUACUGCCUCACUACCACCUGACACAGCUGCACCCCUCAAGCAGGGAUCAAGCUGUGCAGCUGUUGUAGGCCAUUAAACCCUUCUGGUGGCAAAGAUGGAGGCUAGAGACAGGUGGUGGUGGGCUGCAGUGAACUGCCAGUAGCAUUCAGGUAUGGAGUCCUUGUUGCUUGGUACCAUGUUGUGCAAAGUGAGCAACAGCUCAGGAAAGCGUGUGUGUAAAUAAGCAGACAACACCACCAACUGCAGAGCAUAGUGAAGACAUGUGAAAACCCAGUUCUUCCAUAGGAGUCAGCCAACUCCUGGAGCAGUCUACAUAAUUCCCUGCAGACUUCAGCCUGUUUCUCUGUGGAGAUGAGGAUUUUUGGAAUGGGGGAGAGCUACUACUCCUCCCCUUCUGUCUGAGGCCUUGCAAAUCUACUCUGCUCUGGGCCUGGAAAGGCUUGUCAUCCUCUUGGCCAAGAAGUCUCCCACAGAGGUCUGCCUCCUUCCUGUUGCAUAGUUCUGCUUCCAGACUACUUGCCACAGCCAUCUGCCUGGCCCUGUUGUGUCCUGCAACUAUUGUAAGUCUAAGGAGACUUUUCUUCCUCUUUUCUCAGUGUGCAAAUGCAACCAGAGGUCAAGAGACAUCUCCCCCUGACUUAUGUAUGUGUAUAUAUGCGUCUGUGUACAUACACAAAAUCCUUUCACCUGUCUCCUAUGUAAUGAAGCACUCUAUGCAGAAAAUCCCGUGA